AUUGAACGCUGGCGGCAUGCCUUACACAUGCAAGUCGAACGGUAACAGGCCGCAAGGUGCUGACGAGUGGCGAACGGGUGAGUAAUGCAUCGGAACGUGCCCAGUCGUGGGGGAUAACUGCUCGAAAGAGCAGCUAAUACCGCAUACGACCUGAGGGUGAAAGCGGGGGACCGUAAGGCCUCGCGCGAUUGGAGCGGCCGAUGUCAGAUUAGCUAGUUGGUGGGGUAAAGGCCUACCAAGGCAACGGGCUGUAGUUGGUCUGAGAGGACGACCAGCCACACUGGGAGUGAGACACGGCCCAGACUCCUACGGGAGGCAGCAGUGGGGAAUUUUGGACAAUGGGCGCAAGCCUGAUCCAGCAAUGCCGCGUGCAGGAAGAAGGCCUUCGGGUUGUAAACUGCUUUUGUCAGGGAAGAAAUCCUCUGGGUUAAUACCUCGGGGGGAUGACGGUACCUGAAGAAUAAGCACCGGCUAACUACGUGCCAGCCGCCGCAGUAAAAC
rnacentral:rRNA from 1 species